rnacentral:rRNA from 1 species
GGAGUAUGGACCGUGUCUCAGUUCCAUUGUGGCCGUUCAUCCUCUCAGACCGGCUACCGAUCGUCGGCUUGGUGCACCUUUACUACACCAACUACCUAAUCGGACGCAGGCUCCUCGCAAAGCGAUAAAUCUUUAGUAAAACUCCCAUGCGAGAAUCUUACAACAUCCGGUAUUAGCGUCCCUUUCGGGACGUUGUCCCCGACUUUGCGGCAGAUUACCUGCGCUUUACUCACCCGUGCGCCGGUCGCCAUCAGAAGUUGCAAGCAACUCCCAUGAUGCCCCUCGACUUGCAUGUGUUAAGCCUGUAGCUAGCGUUCAUC